rnacentral:rRNA from 1 species
UACGGAGGGUGCGAGCGUUGUCCGGAAUCACUGGGCGUAAAGGGCGCGUAGGCGGCAUGCCAAGCGUGUGGUGAAAGCCCGGGGCUCAACCCCGGGUCGGCCGUGCGGACUGGCGUGCUCGAGCACUGUAGGGGCGGGUGGAAUUCCGGGUGUAGCGGUGGAAUGCGUAGAUAUCUGGAGGAACACCGGUGGCGAAGGCGGCAUCCUGGACCAACACUGACACUGAGGAGCGAAAGCCAGGGGAGCAAACGGG